UUGAUGGAGGGUUUGAUCCUGGCUCAGGACGAACGCUGGCGGCGUGCUUAACACAUGCAAGUCGAACGGUAAGGCUCCAGCUUGCUGGGGUACACGAGUGGCGAACGGGUGAGUAACACGUGGGUGACCUGCCCUGCACUUCGGGAUAAGCCUGGGAAACUGGGUCUAAUACCGGAUAGGACCGCACCGUGAGGGUGUGGUGGAAAGUUUUUUCGGUGUGGGAUGGGCCCGCGGCCUAUCAGCUUGUUGGUGGGGUAAUGGCCUACCAAGGCGGCGACGGGUAGCCGGCCUGAGAGGGUGGACGGCCACAUUGGGACUGAGACACGGCCCAGACUCCUACGGGAGGCAGCAGUGGGGAAUAUUGCACAAUGGGCGAAAGCCUGAUGCAGCGACGCCGCGUGGGGGAUGAC
rnacentral:rRNA from 1 species